rnacentral:rRNA from 1 species
CCUACGGGAGGCAGCAGUGGGGAAUUUUGGACAAUGGGCGAAAGCCUGAUCCAGCAAUGCCGCGUGCAGGAUGAAGGCCUUCGGGUUGUAAACUGCUUUUGUACGGAACGAAAAAGCUUCUCCUAAUACGAGAGGCCCA